rnacentral:rRNA from 1 species
CUGGCUCAGAUUGAACCGCUGGCGGCASGCCUAACACAUGCAAGUCGAGCGGUAACAUUUCUAGCUUGCUAGAAGAUGACGAGCGGCGGACGGGUGAGUAAUGCUUGGGAAUAUGCCUUAGGGUGGGGGACAACAGUUGGAAACGACUGCUAAUACCGCAUAACGUCUACGGACCAAAGGGGGCUUCGGCUCUCGCCCUUAGAUUAGCCCAAGUGGGAUUAGCUAGUUGGUGAGGUAAUGGCUCACCAAGGCGACGAUCCCUAGCUGGUUUGAGAGGAUGAUCAGCCACACUGGAACUGAGACACGGUCCAGACUCCUACGGGAGGCAGCAGUGGGGAAUAUUGCACAAUGGGCGCAAGCCUGAUGCAGCCAUGCCGCGUGUGUGAAGAAGGCCUUAGGGUUGUAAAGCACUUUCAGUAAGGAGGAAAGGUUAGUAGUUAAUACCUGCUAGCUGUGACGUUACUUACAGAAGAAGCACCGGCUAACUCCGUGCCAGCAGCCGCGGUAAUACGGAGGGUGCGAGCGUUAAUCGGAAUUACUGGGCGUAAAGCGUACGCAGGCGGUUUGUUAAGCGAGAUGUGAAAGCCCCGGGCUCAACCUGGGAACUGCAUUUCGAACUGGCAAACUAGAGUAUGAUAGAGGGUGKUAGAAUUUCMGGUGUA